rnacentral:tRNA from 1 species
UCCCAGGUGGUUCAGUGUUAAAGAAUCUGCCUGCCAAUGCAGGAAACACAGGUUCAAUUCCUGGUUUGGGAA